rfam:Bacillus sp. LL01 scaffold24.1, whole genome shotgun sequence.
UCCACAGUAGCUCAGUGGUAGAGCAAUCGGCUGUUAACCGAUCGGUCGUAGGUUCGAGUCCUACCUGUGGAG